rnacentral:rRNA from 1 species
UACACUCCUACGGGAGGCAGCAGUGGGGAAUAUUGCACAAUGGGCGCAAGCCUGAUGCAGCGACGCCGCGUGGGGGAUGAAGGCCUUCGGGUUGUAAACUCCUUUCGCUAGGGACGAAGCUUUUUGUGACGGUACCUAGAUAAGAAGCACCGGCUAACUACGUGCCAGCAGCCGCGGUAAUACGUAGGGUGCGAGCGUUGUCCGGAAUUACUUGGCGUAAAGGGCUCGUAGGUGGUUUGUCGCGUCGUCUGUGAAAUUCUGGGGCUUAACUCCGGGCGUGCAGGCGAUACGGGCAUAACUUGAGUGCUGUAGGGGUAACUGGAAUUCCUGGUGUAGCGGUGAAAUGCGCAGAUAUCAGGAGGAACACCGAUGGCGAAGGCAGGUUACUGGGCAGUUACUGACGCUGAGGAGCGAAAGCAUGGGUAGCGAACAGGAUUAGAAACCCUGGUAGUCCCAU